GACGAACGCUGGCGGCGUGCCUAAUACAUGCAAGUCGAGCGCAGAGGCGUGGUACUUGUACCAACUGCGUGAGCAGCGCACGGGUGAGUAACGCGUGGGGAAUCUGCCUUUGAGAGGGGGACAACCUCUGGAAACGGAUGCUAAUACCGCAUAAAAUCUUUAAACACAAGUUUUAAGUGUGAAAGAUGCAAUUGCAUCACUCAAAGGUGAUCCCGCGUCGUAUUAGCUAGUUGGUGAGGUAAAGGCUCACCAAGGCGAUGAUACGUAGCCGACCUGAGAGGGUGGUCGGCCACAUGGGAACGGAGACGCGGCCCAAACUCCUGCGGGAGGCCGCAGUAGGGAAUCUUCGGCAAUGGGCGAAAGUCUGACGGAGCAACGCCGCGUGAGUGAUGAAGGUUUUCGGAGCGUAAAACUCUGUUAUUAGGGAAAAACGGGUGUGUAAGUGGAAAUGCCCUUAUUGACGGUAACUAACCAGAAAGCCACGGCUAACUACGUG
rnacentral:rRNA from 1 species